AUUGAACGCUGGCGGCAGGCCUAACACAUGCAAGUCGAGCGAGCGGCGGACGGGUGAGGAAUGUAGGGGAAACUGCCUGAUGGAGGGGGAUAACUACUGGAAACGGUAGCGAAUACCGCAUACCAUCGGAUGUGCCCAGAUGGGAGUAGCUUGUUGGUGGGGGAACGGCUCACCAAGGCGACGAUCCCUAGCUGGUCUGAGAGGAUGGCCAGCCACACUGGAACUGAGACACGGUCCAGACUCCUACGGGAGGCAGCAGUGGGGAAUAUUGCACAAUGGGCGAAAGCCUGAUGCAGCCAUGCCGCGUGUAUGAAGAAGGCCUUCGGGUUGUAAAGUACUUUCAGCGGGGAGGCGUUACCCGCAGAAGAAGCACCGGCUAACUCCGUGCCAGCAGCCGCGGUAAUUC
rnacentral:rRNA from 1 species